rnacentral:rRNA from 1 species
CGGACGGGUGAGUAACGCGUGAGAAUCUGCCUUCAGGUCGGGGAUAACAGCUGGAAACGGCUGCUAAUACCGGAUGAGCCGAGAGGUAAAAGCAAAAGUGCCUGAAGAUGAGCUCGCGUCUGAUUAGCUAGUUGGUGGGGUAAGAGCCUACCAAGGCGACGAUCAGUAGCUGGUCUGAGAGGAUGAUCAGCCACACUGGGACUGAGACACGGCCCAGACUCCUACGGGAGGCAGCAGUGGGGAAUUUUCCGCAAUGGGCGCAAGCCUGACGGAGCAAUACCGCGUGAGGGAGGAAGGCCCUUGGGUUGUAAACCUCUUUUGUCAGGGAAGAAGGUCUGACGGUACCUGACGAAUCAGCAUCGGCUAACUCCGUGCCAGCAGCCGCGGUAAUACGGAGGAUGCAAGCGUUAUCCGGAUUUAUUGGGCGUAAGGGGUCCGCAGGUGGUUAUUCGAGUCUGCUGUCAAAGCGCGGAGCUUAACUCCGUACAGGCGGUGGAAACUGAGGAACUAGAGUCUGGUAGUGGUCGCGGGAAUUCCCAGUGUAGCGGUGAAAUGCGUAGAUAUUGGGAAGAACACCGGCGGCGAAAGCGCGCGACUGGACCGGAACUGACACUGAGGGACGAAAGCUAGGGGAGCGAAAGGGAUUAGAUACCCCUGUAAU